ensembl:lncRNA
CGUGGCCAUGGAAACCUGUCUGUCUGGAGCCAGCCCUGGCGGCCCGGUGGUUAAAGUUCGGUGCUCUCACCGCUUCGGGGACCCGGGCUCAGUUUCCAGUCACAGAGCCACACCACCCAUCUGUUGGCUGCCAUGCUGUGGUGGUGGCUCACGUGGAAGAACCAGAAGGGCUCACAGCUAGGACAUAGAAGCAUGCACUGGUGCUUUGUGGAGGCAAAAAAAAGAGGGAGAAACCCAUCUGUCUGGAGCCAAAUAUGACCUACAAGAGGUUCUGACCCCCUUCGUCUGAUGAAGGCCCGGCCAGAAUGUUCGUCUCUAUCCUGAGCAAGGACGGGGAUUUCAUGGGCCUCCCAGUAAUUAGGUGGUAACCAAGCUUUGACACAAGAGUACAAGUCAGAAAUGGAGGAGCUGGAAGCAGUGCUGUUAAACGUGAAGCAGCCGACAGAAAUUAGGAAACACUGCAAGAAAUGAAAGCAAUUUCAGAAAUAACAACGAGAAAGAAUCUAAGAAUAAGGCCCCCCUGACCUGCAGCUUCUUCUGGCCCAGACCCACGCCCUGCUCUGCUCGGUCCAGGUGGGUCUCCCGGUUUCACGGGCCUCCUGCAUCUGUGUACGCAGGUCCAGUCCUGGUGUCUGCUCCUUUCGGGGUGAGUGUUAUUGGUGAUUUGGGGUACACGGCCCAGGCCUAUCCUGGGCGUCUUGGCUCCCCAUGCCCCUGGCAUUCGCUGACCCCUUGCCAGUCGUGGUGUGCUGGGGGUGGGUGUCCAGACCUGGAGGCGGCUGUCCAUGGGUUUUUGUGUUGCCCUGUGAUUUUCUCGUUUGGUCUUCAGGAAGUGUUUGAGGAGGUGGGAAGAGCCUGCUGUCCGCUCCCCCCACCUGCUCUUUCUCAGGCUCUGGCCUCUUCUCCUCCCCCAGGCCGACUCCUCGGGGCUGAGCCUCGAGGCCAUGGCUUUGGCUGUACCCAGUGCUGACAACUUUCAGAUCUCUCCCUCCCUAGGCACGUGCUUUCGAUGGCACGCGGGGCAGCAGCGACAGGGCCUUCUUGCAGGCAGACCCCGCGUGCUCUCCAUGCAAUCAGGACCCAGGACGUGGGCAAAGAACUUCCCAAGGGAAUCAGAAUGGGGUGCAAAUGAGAAGUCUGUGUUCAUAGACUGAUAGCAACUGAAAUGUGCGACAGGACUAAAACCGUCUGGUGAAAAUGCUGAAAGGAGGUCUGUGAGCAGAGAGCUGGGGCCGUGGGGCCGAGGGGCCAUUGGCGUCAUGGAGGCCGUGGGACCAUGGGACUGUGGUGGCCGUAGGGCCAUGGGGGCCGUGGGGACCAUGGGGGCUGUGAAGCUGUGGGACCAUGGGGGUCGUGGGGGCCAUGAAGCUGUGGGACCAUGGGGGCCGUGGAUCCAUGGGGGUCGUGGGGGACAUGGUGCUGCCAGACCGUGGGGGCCGUGGGACGUGGGACGUUUGGCCCAGUGAUCUGGGUGCCACGUGGCUGUGCUCAAUGGCCAGCUUAUGGCUGCAUUAGAAUCACGUGUGUGAAUCUUAGACCUUCCAGCCUCCAGAACUGUGAGAAGUAAGUGUCUGCUGUUGAAGCCACCAGCCUGGGGUAUUUUGUUACAGCUACCGAGCUGACUAAUCCACCCACAAACAACACGAAUGAUUUAAUGUGACUGGUGCUGUCCUCCUAGGGGGUCCCUGCUGCAUCCCACUGUCAUGGCUGGAAGCAGCCCAUCCUGGCCUGGGAAGGUCCAGGUAUGAUGGAGGUGUGAGCCGCCAGCUUCCAGGAUAAGCACCAGACUGCGGUGUAGACCGUCAGGGGAUGGAUACGAAGAGGUUUGCCACACGGCCAAGGCAGAGUUCUGAGGCAGACCCUCGGCUCAGAGCUAAACCUGUGCAAAUACUGUCUGUUCUCCAGAUCCCUCCCUCGCCCACGGCCCCGUCCUGUGCUGCUGCAUCUCAGAGGGAAACGUGAGCCGCCAAGGCCAGUGCUGAUGACAGCAGCCGGAAACACCUGUCGGGAUUUCCUCCCUCUCAUCAGAAUCCUGGGAGACGCAUCCCAGUCCACCUGCCUCCCACUUGCGGAAGGACCUCUCACAGCUCAGGGCUCUCCCAGCGCCUGGCACCACAGCCACAUGGCUCCGAGCCUGGCCGCUCAGGCCCUGCAUUCGCCUGUCUGUGGGCUUCAGCAGGGGCACGGCCCUCUUGUCCACAUAUCAAAGGCAUCAAACAAGUGAACGUGGUGGCCAGGGUGCCUGACCCGCGGUGCUCGGCGGUACACACAGGUCAGCUGUAGGAAGGGCACGAGGGCAGACCCCCCAGAGCACUCUAGCUGAACCAACAACUGGUUACUUCAUGCCUCAGGGCUGUCCAGGACAGCACAGGCUGGCCAGAAGGGCCAAGACACUCCGGGGCUCCUCUCUCAGCCAAGGGCCCCACUCCCCCACCACAGGUCGGUCACGGAGCCGGGUCUGCAGAGAGACAGGAGGUCCUGUCCCCUUGUGCCUCUGCCAGGAGAGGGACGUGUGGCAGCUGAGCCUGGACCCUGUUCCCUGACGGCUCAGCCAAGCUCCCACGCAGAUCGUUCCUCCCAGAUAGCCUGCUGGGACCCAGGACUGCAGCCCGAGCUCAGAGCUUCAGCCGGCGCCCUUCCUGCCAGGGUUGCCGCAGGCCCCGCACCUGCUCCUCCUCGGCCUUGAGGUCCUGCAGCCAGCUCUCUGCGGCUGUGACAGCCAUGACAUCCCUGGUGCCGGAGACGCACAUUUGGACGCUGUGAUGCUGGCUGGCGUGGUUGCGACUCCAGGCUGCCCAUCCCUUUUCUGCUAAUUCAUCUUAUUGCACUUUGCAAAAGCAUUGGGAGGCGCGGAGGGGAAGCCCAGCAGGCGGAGGGUCGAGAAGGUUCUGGAGACCAGGUGGACUGGCUGGGACUCAGGGGUAGCAGGGGCACCUGGGGCCCCAGGGCGUUGGUCACGUUUGCGCCCAGCUGGAGGGCCAGGCAGCCGAGGGGCACUGGCUGCUGCCUGAGUUCUGGGCCGACAGGGAGGGAGUUUCUCUAAACGGCCCCACAACACUCCAGCCCCGGGCUGCUCGGCCUGUGGGUCUUGCUCCAUCGUGCCUGGAACCCACAGCCCCGACAAGGACCACAGCCCCCACAAGUGGCUGGACCCUGCUGGUCCGGCUGCUCCCUCGCUGUGGCCUGGGCCCCCCAGGACACGCACCUCCUGCCAGGGUGCAGGGAGGGGCUGUGGCUCUACCAGCUCUCUGCAACAGGGAGGGCUGAUCCCCCACUGGCCCGAGGCCUCCAGGGCCACCUGCGGUGCACUCACAGGGCGCUUGACAGGAGGCCCGGGGCCCAGGACACUCCUGCGCUCACAGUGGGCACCUGCGUGGGGACAUCUGCCUGGGCCCCUCGGGUCAUGCAGAUGCCCCAGCCCUGCCUGAGCAGGGUCAGUGCUGCCAGGAGCCAGGAAGGCCAGUGGACACAGCAGCUCACUGUCCACUAUGGGGCUGGGUGUCACUGAGUGCUGGGCGCUGACCGCCACCCAGGAGAGGCUGGCAUGUGCAGAUUCUGAGUCACUAGGCCUGGCCAAGGCCACAGAGGGCUCUGGUGUGAGGACGGCAUGGCUGCGCCCAGGGCCUGGGCUGACACUGGGCGCUGCCUCUUCCCGCCUUAGUGACCUCGGCAAGCCCUUCAUCCCUGUGUGCCUCAGUUUCCCCAUCUAGGAGUGCAGUGGCAGAUCCGGCUCAAAGUGCUAUCGUGGAGUUGAGUUACUUAACAGGUCAGGAAGCUGAGCGUACCCAGCACCCCUGGGCCCACGUGGGCUGGGGGCUUUCCCUGUCAUAGGCCUGGGACCCAGCCCUGGCAAGCACAGCCCCCAAGCGCCCCACUUUCUCACAUAGAGGUGGUGGGUGGUAGCUUUCACUGGAUCUGCCUCCUGCCCCUGAGGUCUUUCAUUUGACGGAUGAGGACAUUGAGAGCCAGG